UCUCAUUUGUGUUUGUUCUGGGGAGUGGGGAACCAUUUUCAAGGUGAUGGUCAUUGUUGUUGAUUCCCUACUUCAGGUGAUAUCCCCUGCACUCAUGUGAAAGUCUACAUUGGACAUUUGUUGAAUCACCACAUUGAAGAAUCGACUUAGUUGACUGGCAUUGUAAGAUAUGCAAUUGAUAUCGCCAACGAAAAAUAUGCGCUCAUGGGUCUAUAAUAUAUAUAUAGCUGCUUGCCUUAUCCUGACU